CGGACUCCAGGUCAGGCGGGGCUACCC
rnacentral:rRNA from 1 species